GCUACACACACUGACGAUCCAGCCGUCAAGUGCCUUGCCGCUUCACACAGCAUGCUGCAUCAAGAUUAAAAAUCUAACAAAUAAGCUUGCAUCUACAGGCACGAUCCAGCCCUCAAGUGACUUGCCGCUUCACACAGCUUGCAACAUCAAGAUAGACAUGCAUCUAUGGGAUACACGAACAAUACCAUGCUCAGCUUGCCGACCCCGAAG
rnacentral:lncRNA from 1 species